rnacentral:tRNA from 1 species
AUCUAAAUAGCUUAUUAGAGCGUGACACUGAAGAUGUUAAAGAGGUUUAUUUAACCUUUAGAUA